rnacentral:rRNA from 1 species
GUUGCAGCAUUAGUUGGGCACGUCUAAGGGGACUGCCGGUGAUAAGCCGAGAGGAAGGUGGGGAGUGACGGUCAAGUCCUCAUGGCCCUUACGGGCUGGGCUACACACGUGCUACAAUGGUGGUGACAGUGGGCAGCGAGCACGCGAGUGUGAGCUAAUCUCCAAAAGCCAUCUCAGUUCGGAUUGCACUCUGCAACUCGAGUGCAUGAAGUUGGAAUCGCUAGUAAUCGCGGAUCAGCAUGCCGCGGUGAAUACGUUCCCGGGCCUU